CAUUUUUUUGCUUAGUCCAGCAAUAUGAUUCAAUAUGACCAUGCUUCUUGCAAUAUCGGCAUCGCAUAUCAUUCUUGUACUGUCGUGUCUCAGUAAAUUGAACUUGGCCUCUACCACGUCCUCGACCUCGACCACGAAAUUCACCUCUUCCUCUACCACUGCCAGAAAAAAUUGCAGAUUUUUCUCUGCAGAAAGAUGCUUCCUCUUUCACCUGGAAUGCUUUUUCUUCAAUUUUCUCAUGAGACCUGUUUAAUCUAUCUUCAUGCGCUAACAAGGAACCCAUUAAUUCAUCAAAUGAAUAAUCAGAUAAAUCCUUGGAUUCUUCAAUUGCAGCAACCACAUGCUCAAAUUUAUUGGUUAAAGACCUCAAUACCUUUGCUACAACAAUUUAAUAAAUCCUUGGAUUCUUCAAUUGCAGCAAUCACAUGCUCAAAUUUAUUGGUUAAAGACCUCAAUACCUUUGCUACAACAAUUUCAUCACUUACAAUCUCACCAUAAGAUUUCAUGAGAUUAACAAUGGAAGAGACUCUAGACAUAUAAUCUUGUACCGAUUCAUUAUUUUUCAUGCUUAAAGUUUCAAAAUCACGACGCAAAGUUUGCAAUUUACUGCAAUUACCUUCUUAUCUCCCAUAUACUCCUGCUGCAAAAUUUCCCAAGCUUCAUGGGAAGUCUCUGCUGCUGAAAUUCGGGGGAAGAUAUCAUCAUCAAGGGCUUGCUGAAUC
rnacentral:lncRNA from 1 species